rnacentral:rRNA from 1 species
AAAAACAUAACCAUAUGUAGAAUAUAUAUGGCGAUUUCUGCUCAAUGAUAUUUAAAUAGCCGCAGUACUCUGACUGUGCAAAGGUAGCAUAAUAAUUUGGCUUAUAAUUGAAGUCUAGUAUGAAUGAAUUCAUGGGGAGUAACUAUAUCAGCAUUGCGAGAUGAAAUUACUUAUUACGUGCAAAUACGUAUAUUUAAAUAAAAGACGAGAAGACCCUAGAAAUUUUAAUUAAUUAUAUUAAACCAUUUUUGCUGGGGCGGCAUAGUAACAAUGAACUUACAAUAUUUGACAUGUAGCGGAUAGCAGGACGAUAAAAUUACUCUAGGGAUAACAGCAUAAUUUAUUAUAGUUUGUGACCUCGAUGUUGGACUAGGAAGUUGAAAUUUAGAAGAUGUACAAAUUUGCUCUGUUCGAGCAAUUAAUCCUACGUGAUCUG